rnacentral:rRNA from 1 species
UAUCUCUGUAGAGUCUGCAUAUCAAUAAGCGGAGGAAAAGAAACUAACAAGGAUUCCCCUAGUAACGGCGAGUGAAGCGGGAAGAGCUCAAAUUUGAAAUCUUCAAGGUUUGACCUUGACGAAUUGUAGUUUAAAGAAGUGUUUUCGGUUAGAGGAGUAGUAAAAGUUCUUUGGAAUAGGACAUCAUAGAGGGUGAGAAUCCCGUAUUUGACUAUUCUUUCUAGCUUUGUGAUACACUUUCAAAGAGUCGGAUUGUUUGGGAAUGCAGGUCCAAAAUGGGUGGUAAAUUUCAUCUAAAGCUAAAUAUUGGCGAGAGACCGAUAGCGAACAAGUACCGUGAGGGAAAGAUGAAAAGAACUUUGAAAAGAGAGUUAGACAGUACGUGAAAUUGUCAAAAGGGAAGCGUUUGACACCAGUGUUGUUUUUCCGAAAAUCGAUUAAAAAUUGAUUCAUGCCAGGUUGUAUUGACCUUAUCAGCUUGCAAUUUGGUUUUGGGUCUCUUUUUGAUGCACUUUUCGGUUAACAAGUCAACAUCAAUUUCCUUUGCUGUAAAAAGGUAAGAGGAAGGUGGCUUCAAUUUCGGUUGAAGUGUUUAUAGCCUUUUAUCUCUGCAGUCGGGGAGAUUGAGGUCUGCAGCGUAGAUCCUUCGGGGCUAGAUACAUUUAUGCUAAGUUAUAGCUUUUCAUAGACAACUUGUUGACUAUGUUUAGUCAUGUAGCUUACUCGUAAGUGCUAUUUUACCUACGCUUAGGAUGUUGAAGACUCUACAGAGAUA